rnacentral:lncRNA from 1 species
GCGAAGGCUGCAGCGCGCCCGGCAGCCGGGAUGCAGCGGCGCCGCCCAAGCCUGGGGCGCAGGGGUCGGGGCACACGGGGAUAGGCCCGACGCGGGGCCGAAGGAAGGGUGGUCUUUCCCGCAGAGUUGCCGCUGGAGGACCGAAAGUUUUGCAGGCAGCCCUUGCUUCCAGCUUGUCGCUCUCUCCCCGCGUCCCUGUCGCCCAACGCGAGGCGCCCCCGCUGGGGUCCCGACGGCUUGGUGGGGAGGAGCCGUGAGGGGUUGCGCCCCCCACCCCCACCCGAGCCAGGGAAGGGACCCUGGUGACCUCGCCUCCCAGCCCUCACCCCCGUCACCCCUUUCUUCUCUUUCCUGGAGGACUUUGGACCAUGGAGAUUCUGCAGUUGUUGCUCUAGGAGCUGAAACCAGUGGGUAGAUGUCGUUCUGAAACGCAGUCAACCAAUAUUGCCUGUCAUGGAACAGCUGUGCCCUCCUGUCAGGAGGGAAAGAUGAGUGAGACCCAUCCUCACCCUCACAGAGAUGCAGUCUGGUGGUCUCUGGAAGAAGGAAGUUGUGAAACUUACCGAUUCCUUGGGAAAACAGAGAGCUGUGAUCACUUGAGGGUGUCAUGUCAACCUUGUCUCAUGCACCAGCUGAAUUCAGUGACACUAACAUCCUGGAUCCUGCAGAUGAGAGUAUUAUGACUGCACUACCAGGGAGGCUGCCCAGGGCUGGAGAUUGCUCUGCUCCAGAGGUGCUUGGUUUGCAGUGUGGGCGGACUCAACCUGAGCGAAAGCCACACAAAAGCGCCUUGAGCUGGAGCCCCAUGC